rnacentral:rRNA from 1 species
UACGUAGGGACCAAGCGUUGUUCGGAUUUACUGGGCGUAAAGGGCGCGUAGGCGGCGUGACAAGUCACUUGUGAAAUCUCUGGGCUUAACCCAGAACGGCCAAGUGAUACUGUCGUGCUAGAGUGCGGAAGGGGCAAUCGGAAUUCUCGGUGUAGCGGUGAAAUGCGUAGAUAUCGAGAGGAACACCUGAGGUGAAGACGGGUUGCUGGGCCGACACUGACGCUGAUGCGCGAAAGCCAGGGGAGCGAACGGG